AUUAAAUAGUACCUAUCAGAAAUUGCUCAAUGAAGCUGCUUGUCUGGAGGAAGUGUCUACACAAGAGUGUGACCUACUCGUACUGUGUCACCACUCAUUCAAACAUGAAUAGAUGUCAGUGUUACGAGAUCGAGAGACAGGUAGCCAAUAAAGAGAACCGAGCCGUAAAGCAAUAAAGUGAUAAGACGACGACCCCACGAAACAAUAACAAUGUAAAUACCGUUUUAUAGUGUAAACAAAAAGUAUAAUAAAUGUGUUACGUAGGCAGCUACGUCAGGACGUACGUCACGGGCGACGUCACGAGCGGAAGUCCGCACUAGAUAUAUUUACUGUAGGCGUGCACCGCAGCCGCCGGGACGGGUUCAAUGUCGAGUCGCGACUAUCUAUCGGCCAUCAAUCACCGCUCGCCGCCGCCGCCACCACCCGGCACCCGCUACCAAAGGACGCGGCCGCGAUCCGCUGCUCCUCGGCCGCUCGACUCGAACUCAUCCGAUACAUUGUUGCUAAACAUCCGCGGCGCGGCUCUGAUUUACGCUCUCGACGCUCCGAUAACAUCGCACCGGUAUGCGCGUGAUAAUAGUUUGUUGUUACACCCGUAGUAAUAGUAAUCCACCUGUCUUCGAUUUGCAGAUAUGAAUCGAAUCGAUUGUCACGGUCGGUCGGGUGGUACAUUAUCAUUUUCAUUCAUAGAUUGAUACAAGUGUGUAAUUGGAUAUCGGAACACGUCGAUAUAGAUUGUGCGUGACCGGGUGAGUGCGGCGUGAUGCGGCGUGGUGCGGCGUGGUGCAGCGGCCCGCACCGGGACCAAGGCCGGCGCUGUUUACAAACUUCCGUCACGACUCACGAGCACUUGUCACUCGCGCCGCCAUUCCUCGGCCGACGCACACGUGUCUACGCAAAUAAUAGCGAGCCCUCACAGUUGACAUUGUCCCAGUUCGCGCGACUGCCCGCCCGUCUAGACUUGAGAUACGAUCACCGUCGAUACGCUCGUUGUUAACAUUUUGCAUUCGUUACUGUCUCAGCAGCACGCUGUAUCCUCUAUUAUUAGCCAUCGAAUCGCAAACAACUGUAAGAUACAUCACGUCAUAGAUAGUAUUCUUAAAUUUCGAAGUCAUGCACCCUUGUUGUAGUGGUGCCCUACGCGGGGUGAGAACGAGGGUGAAUGCAGUAGGGUGGCGGAGCUCCCUCGGCCCGUUACCCCCCGGUGCACAGUAGGCGCGUAGUAACUGCAAUAACGGAGCAGUGAAAGUGUCGCGGGGCGCUUCAACCGUCAAUGGGUGAAGACUUUACUCCCUUCACCCCGCCGUCUUGUGCUCAAACUUGUAGCUAAUAGUACGAUCUUCCUAGUGUCGGUCGCACACAUGUUUGUGUUCACAUAAACAAUGUUUAUGUUGAAAGUUUCUCGUGGAGCACGCGAACGAGCGGCGACCCGCGAGUAGCGACUGGCGACAUUAGUAAUGUUACUGGGCGAUUACAGAGUGCCAAGCACGAAUAACUAUCGCAUUCGUAAUGUAAACGUAUCGAGAUGACGAUACGUCAUGAGACGUUAACGGAGUGUGGCAGCACGAAGCCUAUUCUUUCAACUAUCGAGAGCUCGAAUCCAAUUCGAUAGUGACGUCAUGCUAAUGUAAACUAGAGAAGCAGCCAAGUGAACGAUUUGAAUGACUUGUUGAGCAUAAAGAUUUCGUCUGAAAACUAAAUUAAAUUUAUAUAUAUAUUUCAACCUUUGUGUACAAGUUUUAUGAAAUAAUAUUUAUUAAAUAAAUAUUAAUUAUGUGCAAAAAGUUCUUAAAGCGAGUUAAGAGAAAUAUAACGUGACAUUAUCUAUGAAAAAAAAUAAGUACUUAGUUUCAUAAAUUUAUAAUUUUUUUUAUGAUUUCCGAACGUCGUAUUUGACAUCACAUUUGUCAUGCCGGUUGUUUGUUUGUUUAUGUAAAAUGUAAAUAAGAUAAAAUUACAAUUUUAACAUGUUACAUUUAAAAUGAGGACGAUUCAACUCCAAUAUGAGCUAAUGGUGGAAUUUAUGCAAAAAUUGGAAUAUUUGUGGGACCAGUCCAAUAUUUCUGGGAGCAGUGGGCCUACUGUAUUCCUACCACACCACUCACUGUUCCUCACAAAGCCUACACUUCGCCAGCGCCUCCACCAACACCACCGAUCCUCCAUCCGAGGAAGAUAGCUGGAAUCCUCCACCAGUGAAAAAACCUAAAGCGAGUUUAAUUAAAAUGUGUAUAGAGAAUGACAAGAAUGCUAUGCUAAGGAGCAUGAGAAAAGUUAUUAUUUUUUAUUAGUUGAUUAUUUUUUAUAACUUACUGUUAAUUUUAUAUUUAUUUGAAUUUUUCUGUUUUUAUGUUAUUUUAAAAUAUUAUCAAAAUAUUGUUAAUGGCAUUGUAUUUAUAAUAAUUAUUCUAACUGUGUCAAUACUGUGAAUGUGGUGCAUGUCUAUAAAUUGGCAUAAGCACAUGAUCUUGUGUCUUCAUCUUGUUUUUCAUUAAUGUCUUAUAAUAAUAAAUAAAUAAAUUAUAUAUUAUUGGGAUUAAGAUUAGGAUAAAAUAGUUUUUAAGUUAGUUAAAUAAUAAUAAAUAAAAAAAUAAAAAUGUGUUUAUUGACAAAAGUUAGUACAAUAAGUUGCCGGGGCUUCCCAAAAAGUAAUCCGAAGAUACUUGUGUUGGGAUAAGCCUCGCUCUUCCUUGUUAUACAAUUGUUUCGCUAAUUAUAACUACGUUAUUAGUUAUAUAUGUAUAUACAUUUUAUUAACUAUAAAAAGAGGAUUUUGUACUAAAAAGUAAUAAAACACUUGAAAUAAC